UACGGGGGGGGGUAAGCGUUGUUCGGAAUUACUGGGCGUAAAGGGCUCGUAGGUGGCCAACUAAGUCAGACGUGAAAUCCCUCAGCUUAACUGGGGAACUGCGUCUGAUACUGGAUGGCUUGAGAUUGGGAGAGGGAUGCGGAAUUCCAGGUGUAGCGGUGAAAUGCGUAGAUAUCUGGAGGAACACCGGUGGCGAAGGCGGCAUCCUGGACCAACACUGACACUGAGGAGCGAAAGCCAGGGGAGCAAACGGG
rnacentral:rRNA from 1 species